GCAAGUAGAACGCUGAAGGAGGAGCUUGCUUCUCUGGAUGAGUUGCGAACGGGUGAGUAACGCGUAGGUAACCUGCCUGGUAGCGGGGGAUAACUAUUGGAAACGAUAGCUAAUACCGCAUAACAGUAGAUGUUGCAUGACAUUUGCUUAAAAGGUGCAAUUGCAUCACUACCAGAUGGACCUGCGUUGUAUUAGCUAGUUGGUGGGGUAACGGCUCACCAAGGCGACGAUACAUAGCCGACCUGAGAGGGUGAUCGGCCACACUGGGACUGAGACACGGCCCAGACUCCUACGGGAGGCAGCAGUAGGGAAUCUUCGGCAAUGGACGGAAGUCUGACCGAGCAACGCCGCGUGAGUGAAGAAGGUUUUCGGAUCGUAAAGCUCUGUUGUAAGAGAAGAACGAGUGUGAGAGUGGAAAGUUCACACUGUGACGGUAUCUUACCAGAAAGGGACGGCUAACUACGUGCCAGCAGCCGCGGUAAUACGUAGGUCCCGAGCGUUGUCCGGAUUUAUUGGGCGUAAAGCGAGCGCAGGCGGUUAGAUAAGUCUGAAGUUAAAGGCUGUGGCUUAACCAUAGUACGCUUUGGAAACUGUUUAACUUGAGUGCAAGAGGGGAGAGUGGAAUUCCAUGUGUAGCGGUGAAAUGCGUAGAUAUAUGGAGGAACACCGGUGGCGAA
rnacentral:rRNA from 1 species